GAUUUUCAAGCCAAAAAAUUUCUUAAAACCAAGAAAGUACUUGAAUAACAACAACCACAAUCCUUAGGCAAUAGUGUUAACUAUUACAAUUAUAAUAUUUCAAAUACAAAUAAAAUCUACACUUUCAAAUAUCCAAAAGUUGCCCAGGGAAUCACACUAACUCUAGACAAAAGUUGGCUAGUCUAGCGCCUCAAAUUCUUCACUUCAAAUUCCUGUUAAGGAAUAACAAUUUAAAGGAAUGAGCAGAUGCUUAGUGAGGCCAAGAAAUCAAGCAAGCAAGUAGAGCAAGUACCAUAAUUCAACUCAAAUAGUUCAUGUAUAGAAUAACAACAAUGGUUUCAAGUAAAACCACAAAAGGACUAAAAUAUGUUCAUUAAGAGGAUACAGGAGCUCUUAAGAGCUAAUCUACAAGCUUGCCAUGUCACGAUCUUGGAUAUCAUUUUCUUUUGUUGACACUCCGCCAACCACACAAGUAACAAAUCUAUAGAAUUCACUUGACACGAAUCCCCAUCCACCGUUUUAUCCCCUAUCGGGCCUGAAAGUCAAAUAGAAAUAGUGAUGGUAAUAUUCAAGUAUACCCAAGCAAGAACAAGUAUGAUCGAUGAGAUAACACUCUAAUCCAUUUAAUCAAGAUGGAGGUACUGAGAUAGGAUAAAAAGCACCUCCCACUCGGAUUGAUUAUGGUACAUACUGCCGCUGAAUACUAGGGUCGACGAGAUAAUCCUCCAAUCGAUUUAAUCAAGAUAGAGGUACUGAGAUGAAAUGAGAGGCACCUCCCACUCGGAUUGAGUGUGGUAUAUACUGCUGCUCAACACUUACAAGUCAAGUACAAGUAUAAACACAAGUACAAGUCAAUCAAGUUCAAGCAAGUACAAGAUCAUUCGAGAAGAAGAGAACGAAUGUAAUAAAAUACACCCUCGCCUCAUCAAGUUCAAUAUUUAACACAUAACACAUGAUAUCAUUCAAAUCAAGAUAUCAAGAAAUAUACACUUGACACUCACCAAUAGUCAAAUAAGCAAAACAAGAGAAAACUUUCACAAGUUCUCCUCGGGGUUUCUCUUGAAUUCCUCUUGAAUACUUGAGAUAUACACAAUCAACGAUUACCUAUAAUCGUUCAACCAAGGCCAAACAAUUUCCCCUUAACCCUUCACUCAAGCAUGCUCAAAUUCUUGUCGAAUUAAGAGAGAAACUCUCUUCAUUUAACCACUAAGAUAACACUCAAGAAAAGCUUUAAAAGUGCUCUAUUUGUAAGUCAAAACAUGGCAAGAGUUUUCGAUUUAAAAGUUAGCCAAACCUCUCAAGAGUUUAACAAAACAUACAUGGGAGGGAAAACCACUUUUACUUCCUUAACUCCUAAUCUUUUGCUCAAGUUUUGAUAUAUAUAAAUGAGCGUUCAAGUUUACUAAAACUUAUGAAGUCAAAACUUCACCAAAACCAUCAUUUAUUUCUUAGCAAAGACACCAACAAAUCCUCCAAGUUUUAAACAUCAAGCAAGUGAAAUUUUUCCACAAAACUCUUGGCAUGAUGCUUCACUUUUCACCCCUUUUUAAUUCAAACUUGUUGCUCCUUUUAAAAGCACAUUCGAGAGCAAUUGAUUAGCAAGUUAUGUUGAGCAAAAUUUCACUUUAAAGCUAGAUCAACUUGAGUGAACCAUGAGAGUUCACCACUAAAAACACAUUUAAAAGGCCUAAUAACUUUCAAGAUUUAAACCACUAGUUCUUGAUCCAAAACGUCAAGUUUUCUUAUUCAAGUCAAGAAAAAACUCAUAUACAUAAUAAAUCCAUAAUCCAAGUGUGAAAUGGAGUACAAGUAAUCAAGAAAGUUAGGUUUAAAAACCAGAAAAUGUUUCCAAGACCCUUCCAAGUUUUUUGUCAUUUCAUAAGAAAAAUUCCAAUUUUUGUAAUGCUUUUUGAAAAGUCAUAACUUGAGUUUCGUAAGCCCAAAAAUCAUAAAUCUUAUACCGUUAGAAAAUAGACUCAAACGACUGCAACUCUCUAGAAGACACCUUCAUAAAAUUCAAACCCAUAAAUUAGUCAAAUCUCAGUUUCAAUUCACUGCUCAACUAAGUGCAAAAACAGGACAGUCUUGAAUUUUCAGCCCAUUUUGAAAUUUUGCUGGUAUUUAUUGAAAGUGAACCAAACCAUGGAUUUUACAUGGUUAAAAGAGCCAUGAGUCUUGUUUCAAAUGCAAUAAACGAAACUCAAUUCAGAUUUUUCUACACUAAGAUAUAACAGAUUUCCCAAAACUUCUCAAAGUCUCCUGCGGGAAAAAAUUUUCAGCAAUCCUUGACUCAACUUUCCCAUUUAAACUCAUGAUUUUGGUUCAAAUCUAACUCACAGUCAAAGUUUAAUGUCCAACAUAGUUUGUGGAGUAAGAUUUUCCCAAAAUUUCUUGAAAAUAAGGGCUAAUAGCACUCAAAAGUUUCGGCCAUCAAGAAGCUUUCAAAACAGAAUUUUUUCACCAAAAUUUGCAGCAAAAUCCAAUCAAGAUUCAAGCUUUCUAAGAAAUAUACACACAAGCCACAAUAUCAAGUUUUAAAACACCAAAAUCUACCAUAAAUAUUCAUCAUAAAAGCACAAGAAUGAACUCAAGUCAUCUACCUAACUUGCCAUGAAAAUAUAAGGAAUUUUCCUCAAAUCAUCUACCUAAAUCAAGGUUUCAAGAAAACCCAUCAACAACCCAUCAAACAUUCAAUUUUUCUAGCUACAAAUCUACUAGAAAGUUGAAGGAAAAAUAGGGUUUCAAACCAAUACCUUUUCUAGCAAUUUCAAUCAAGCAACAAGUCCAAAUUUCCUCCAAGAGUUGCUCCCAAGCAAGACUUUCUUCCAAACUCAAGCAAGAUUCCAAGAAUCAUCCAAAGUUGGGGAAGAUUUGAAGCAAAAAUGGAGGACAAAAAGUUGAGCUUUUCUUCUCUUUUUUUUUUCCUAGCUCUCGGUCCUCUCUUUCUCCUUUGCUCUUGAUUUUGGUUGUUUCAUUUAUUUACAUUUUUUAAGGUAAGAAAGGAAAAAUUAAAUGACAAAAAAACUU
rnacentral:lncRNA from 1 species